rnacentral:rRNA from 1 species
UACGAAGGGGGCUAGCGUUGCUCGGAAUCACUGGGCGUAAAGCGCACGUAGGCGGGUCGUUAAGUCGGGGGUGAAAUCCUGGAGCUCAACUCCAGAACUGCCUUCGAUACUGGCGAUCUCGAGUUCGGGAGAGGUGAGUGGAACUGCGAGUGUAGAGGUGAAAUUCGUAGAUAUUCGCAAGAACACCAGUGGCGAAGGCGGCUCACUGGCCCGGU